GAGUUUGAUCCUGGCUCAGGAUGAACGCUGGCGGCGUGCUUAACACAUGCAAGUCGAACGAGGCGCCUUAUUUGAUUUCCUUCGGGACUGAUUAUUUUGUGACUGAGUGGCGGACGGGUGAGUAACGCGUGGGUAACCUGCCUUGUACAGGGGGAUAACAGUUGGAAACGGCUGCUAAUACCGCAUAAGCGCACAGCAUCGCAUGAUGCAGUGUGAAAAACUCCGGUGGUGUGAGAUGGACCCGCGUCUGAUUAGCUAGUUGGCAGGGCAACGGCCUACCAAGGCGACGAUCAGUAGCCGACCUGAGAGGGUGACCGGCCACAUUGGGACUGAGACACGGCCCAAACUCCUACGGGAGGCAGCAGUGGGGAAUAUUGCACAAUGGGGGAAACCCUGAUGCAGCGACGCCGCGUGAGUGAAGAAGUAUUUCGGUAUGUAAAGCUCUAUCAGCAGGGAAGAAGAAAUGACGGUACCUGACUAAGAAGCACCGGCUAAAUACGUGCCAGCCGCCGCGGUAAUAC
rnacentral:rRNA from 1 species